UCAAGAAAAGAAGGGCUUAAGGUGGAUGCCUAGGUGUCAGGAGGCGACGAAGGACGCGGCAAGCGGCGAAACGCCACGGGAAGUUGCAAGCAAGCGUAGAUCCGUGGAUAUCCGAAUGGGGAAACCUAAUAGAGGCAAACCUCUAUUACCCUUGUCUGAAAAAAAUAGGGCAAGCGGGGCAAGACCUAGUGAACUGAAACAUCUAAGUAACUAGAGGAAAAGAAAUCAACCGAGAUCUCCUGAGUAGCGGCGAGCGAACGGGAGAGAGCCAAAACCAUAUAUGUGUAAAGCUGCAACUGUUGCAUAUAUGGGGUAGCGGGACAUAUAGGGAUAACUUGCAGGUUAUCAAAGUAGAAAAACGAGCGAUAUAGACGAAGGCCUUUGGAAAAAGCCGCCAUAGAGAGUGAAAGCCUCGUAGUCGAAAUAGAGCAAGCUACUUCAUAUGAUCCCAAGUACCUCCAGACACGAGAAACCUGGAGGGAAUCAGGGAGGACCACCUUCCAAGGCUAAACACUACCUGACAACCGAUAGCGAAUAGUACCGUGAGGGAAAGGUGAAAAGCACCCCGGGAGGGGAGUGAAAAAGAACCUGAAACCAUAAGCCUACAAAAAGUCAGAGCCCGAUUAAAACGGGUGAUGGCGUACCUUUUGCAUAAUGGGCCAGCGAGUUAUGGUAGCAAGCAAGGUUAAAUUCAAAAAGGAUGAAGCCGUAGCGAAAGCGAGUCUUAAUAGGGCGUCAAGUUUGUUGCUAUAGACCCGAAACUGAGUGAUCUAUCCAUGGCCAGGGUGAAGUCUCGGUAACACGAGAUGGAGGCCCGAACCAGAGUACGUUGAAAAGUGCGUGGAUGAGCUGUGGAUAGGGGUGAAAAGCCAAUCGAACUCAGAGAUAGCUGGUUCUCCUCGAAAUAGCUUUAGGGCUAGCGUCAAGCAUAUCCUUAUGGGGGUAGAGCACUGGUUAGGUUAGGGGCCUUACCCGGUUACCGACCCUUCCCAAACUCCGAAUACCAUAAGGUAGAAACUUGGCAGUCAGUCUAUGGGUGAUAAGGUCCAUAGACGAAAGGGAAACAGCCCAGACCGUCAGCUAAGGUCCCCAAAUCUAUGCUAAGUGGGAAAGGAAGUAGAGUUGCCUAGACAGCCAGGAUGUUGGCUUAGAAGCAGCCACCAUUCAAAGAGUGCGUAAUAGCUCACUGGUCAAGUGACUCUGCGCCGAAAAUGUAACGGGGCUAAGCAUAGUACCGAAGCUACGGAUCCGAUAUCGCCUUGAGAUGGCAGUGAAAAGAAACAAAACCCGCGAAAGCGAGCAAAAGCACAAAAAAGGUGCAGAACCGCUGACAUGUCACGGCGAUAUUGGGUGGUAGAGGAGCGUUCUUAAUAGGAAGAAGCUAUACCGAAAGGAGUAGUGGACAAUUAAGAAGUGAGAAUGCUGGCAUAAGUAACGACAAGGCAGGUGAGAAUCCUGUCCGCCGAAAACCUAAGGAUUCCUGGGGAAGGUUCGUCCGCCCAGGGUAAGCCGGGACCUAACCCGAGGCCAAACGGCGUAGGGGAUGGACAACUGGUUGAGAAUCCAGUGCCACCUAGAAUCGCUUGAGCGAAGUGGUGACGCAGGAGGAUAAGUGAAGCGCACGGUUGGAAGAGUGCGUCCAAGCAUGUAGGGUGCCAGGUAGGCAAAUCCGCCUGGUGAAAAGCCUGAGGUGUUAAGGGGAGGGAAGCGUAGUACCGAAGUCACCGACUCCAAACUGCCAAGAAAAGCCACUAGUAAGAAACUAGGUGCCCGUACCGUAAACCGACACAGGUAGGUAAGAAGAGAAUUCUAAGGCGCGCGAGAGAACCCUCGUUAAGGAACUCGGCAAAAUGACCCCGUAACUUAGGGAAAAGGGGUGCUCUAUUAGCGUGAAUUAAAACACAUUAACGAGCGUGAAAGAGCCGCAGUGAAUAGGCCCAGGCGACUGUUUAACAAAAACACAGGUCUCUGCAAAAUCGAAAGAUGAAGUAUAGAGGCUGACGCCUGCCCGGUGCUGGAAGGUUAAGGGGAAAGGUUAGCGUAAGCGAAGCUUUGAACCGAAGCCCCAGUGAACGGCGGCCGUAACUAUAACGGUCCUAAGGUAGCGAAAUUCCUUGUCUGGUAAGUUCAGACCCGCACGAAAGGCGUAACGAUCUGGGCACUGUCUCGACGAGGGGCUCGGUGAAAUUGUAAUACCGGUGAAGAUGCCGGUUACCUGCGAUAGGACAGAAAGACCCCGUGGAGCUUUACUGUAGCUUGA
rnacentral:rRNA from 1 species